rnacentral:rRNA from 1 species
ACGGAGGAUGCGAGCGUUAUCCGGAUUUAUUAGGUUUAAAGGGUGCGCAGGCGGUCUUUUAAGUCAGUGGUGAAAGUUUGCAGCUCAACUGUAAAAUUGCCAUUGAAACUGGAAGACUUGAAUAUAGUAGAGGUAGGCGGAAUGUGUAGUGUAGCGGUGAAAUGCUUAGAUAUUACACAGAACACCGAUUGCGAAGGCAGCUUACUAUGCUAUUAUUGACGCUGAGGCACGAAAGCGUGGGGAGCGAACAGG